rnacentral:rRNA from 1 species
GGGAAGGCGAGCCCGCCGAGGGGGAGGCGAAUCCCAAAAAGACCGUCCCAGUUCGGAUCGCAGGCUGCAACCCGCCUGCGUGAAGUUGGAAUCGCUAGUAAUCGCGGAUCAGCAUGCCGCGGUGAAUACGUUCCCGGGCCUUGUACACACCGCCCGUCACACCAUGAGAGUCGGGAACACCCGAAGUCCGUAGCCUAACCGCAAGGGGGGCGCGGCCGAAGGUGGGUUCGAUAAUUGGGGUGAAGUCGUAACAAGGUACC